GGGGCCAUAGUAUAGCCUGGUCCAGUAUUCGCGCUUUGGGAGCGCGUGACGAGAGUUCAAAUCUCUCUAACCCCA
rnacentral:tRNA from 1 species